AUGUUAUAUACUUCGGAGAAAGAGGGUAGUAACGCAAGACUAAAUGGUAUGAUGAGGGAAUUCCGUGAAUGUCUUAUGGACUGUGGGAUGGAGUAUUUAGAAUACAUCAGCGAUCCUUUUACUUGGAGUAGAGGUGAUAUUCGAGAGCGUCUUGACCGUGCAGUGUGCAGUGUAGGGUGGGCUCAUAAAUUUCCUCAUGCAGCAGUGACCAACGAAGAAUAUGUUCACUCUGACCACCGUCCGCUGGUCCUGGAUAUGAACUAUCUGGAUGAUAACAUUUUUAGACAACCAACGGGGAGUGUAAAACAAUUUGAAGCUAAAUGGCUAAAGGAAGAGACUGUUAAUGAAAUUGUUAAGGUAUCUGGGAAAGAGUAA
rnacentral:rRNA from 1 species